rnacentral:misc_RNA from 1 species
GUGAGUCAUCGAAUCUUUGAACGCAUAUUGCGCCCCCUGGCAUUCCGGAGGGCACACCUGUCCGAGCGCCAUUUCGACACUCAAGCAUAGCUUGGUGUUGGGCAGGGUCCCUUCCGGGACCCGCCCGUAACCCGUAGGCGGCCGUCGUCCGCGCUCCCGGCGUAGCAGGCAAACGCACUCGCCCGGGGACGGCGAGCGGCCCGCCCCGCAAACCAGACCCCUUAAAGGUUUGGCCUCGGAUCAGGUGGGGAUACCCGCUGAACUUAAGCAUAUCAAUAAGCGGAGGA